UGAGCAAUCUGCCCUUCUCAUCGGAAUAAGCGUUGGAAACGACGUCUAAUGCCGAAUACGACCUCCUUUCGCAUGAUCGGAGGUGGAAAGCUCCGGCGGAGAAGGAUGAGCUCGCGGCCUAUCAGCUAGUUGGUGAGGUAACGGCUCACCAAGGCGACGACGGGUAGCUGGUCUGAGAGGACGACCAGCCACACUGGGACUGAGACACGGCCCAGACCUCUACGGGGAGG
rnacentral:rRNA from 1 species